GACGAACGCUGGCGGCGUGCUUAACACAUGCAAGUCGAACGGUGAAGCUCCAGCUUGCUGGUGUGGAUCAGUGGCGAACGGGUGUGUCACACGUGAGCAACCUGCCCCUGACUCUGGUAUAAGCGCUGGAAACGGCGUCUAAUACUGGAUACGAGAAGGGUCCGCAUGGGCACUUUCUGGAAAGUUUUUCGGUUGGGGAUGGGCUCGCGGCCUAUCAGCUUGUUGGUGAGGUAAUGGCUCACCAAGGCGACGACGGGUAGCCGGCCUGAGAGGGCGACCGGCCACACUGGGACUGAGACACGGCCCAGACUCCUACGGGAGGCAGCAGUGGGGAAUAUUGCACAAUGGGCGAAGGCCUGAUGCAGCGACGCCGCGUGAGGGAUGACGGCCUUCGGGUUGUAAACCUCUUUCAGCAGGGAAGAAGCGAAAGUGACGGUACCUGCAGAAGAAGCACCGGCUAACUACGUG
rnacentral:rRNA from 1 species